GCGCGAAAACUUUACAAUGCUGGCAACAGCGAUAAGGGAACCUCGAGUGCCAGGUUACAAAUCCGGCUGUCGAGAUGCCUAAAAAGCAUUUCAUAGCAAGGGCCGGGCAAGACCGGUGCCAGCCGCCGCGGUAACACCGGCGGCUCGAGUGGUAACCGUUAUUAUUGGGUCUAAAGGGUCUGUAGCCGGCCGGAUAAGUCUCUUGAGAAAUCUGGCAGCUUAACUGUCAGGCUUUCAGGAGAUACUGUCUGGCUCGAGGCCGGGAUAGGUGAGAGGUACUUCAGGGGUAGGGGUGAAAGCUUGUAAUCCUUGAAGGACCACCAGUGGCGAAGGCGUCUCACCAGAACGGACCUGACGGCAAGGGACGAAAGCUAGGGGCACGAACC
rnacentral:rRNA from 1 species